rnacentral:rRNA from 2 species
UCGGAGAGUUUGAUCCUGGCUCAGGAUGAACGCUGGCGGCGUGCCUAAUACAUGCAAGUCGAGCGAACUGAUUAGAAGCUUGCUUCUAUGACGUUAGCGGCGGACGGGUGAGUAACACGUGGGCAACCUGCCUGUAAGACUGGGAUAACUUCGGGAAACCGAAGCUAAUACCGGAUAGGAUCUUCUCCUUCAUGGGAGAUGAUUGAAAGAUGGUUUCGGCUAUCACUUACAGAUGGGCCCGCGGUGCAUUAGCUAGUUGGUGAGGUAACGGCUCACCAAGGCAACGAUGCAUAGCCGACCUGAGAGGGUGAUCGGCCACACUGGGACUGAGACACGGCCCAGACUCCUACGGGAGGCAGCAGUAGGGAAUCUUCCGCAAUGGACGAAAGUCUGACGGAGCAACGCCGCGUGAGUGAUGAAGGCUUUCGGGUCGUAAAACUCUGUUGUUAGGGAAGAACAAGUACAAGAGUAACUGCUUGUACCUUGACGGUACCUAACCAGAAAGCCACGGCUAACUA